rnacentral:misc_RNA from 1 species
AAUUCUCAACCUCAUUAGCUUUUGCUAGUAAGGCUUGGAUGUGGAGGUUUUGCUGGCUUCUUAACGAGGUUAGCUCCUCUGAAAUGCAUUAGCGGUACCCGUGUGGAACUGUCUAUUGGUGUGAUAAUAUCUAUGCCGUGGACAUCUACUUUAAAUGGGUUAUGCUGCUUAUAACCGUCCUUAUAGGACAACUAAUGACAA